CCUACGGGAGGCAGCAGUGGGGGAUAUUGCACAAUGGGGGAAACCCUGAUGCAGCGACGCCGCGUGGGUGAAGAAGCGCCUCGGCGCGUAAAGCCCUGUCAGCAGGGAAGAAAAUGACGGUACCUGAAGAAGAAGCCCCGGCUAACUACGUGCCAGCAGCCGCGGUAAUACGUAGGGGGCAAGCGUUAUCCGGAUUUACUGGGUGUAAAGGGGGCGCAGACGGCGAUGCAAGCCAGGAGUGAAAGCCCGGGGCCCAACCCCGGGACUGCUCUUGGAACUGCGUGGCGAGAGUGCAGGAGGGGCAGGCGGAAGUCCUGGUGUAGCGGUGAAAUGCGUAGAUAUCAGGAGGAACACCGGUGGCGAAGGCGGCCUGCUGGACUGCAACUGACGUUGAGGCCCGAAAGCGUGGGGAGCAAACAGGAUUAGAUACCCCAGUAGUC
rnacentral:rRNA from 1 species